CUCAUAGUUAAGCCAAAUAUUACUUCUUAAAUCAUUUGCUUUCUCUCUCUAUCCUAAGUAAUCCCAGAACUCCAGAAUGAUUGCAAUCACUUGGAAAAUAGGACCUACAUAACGGAUAACUCCAACAUUAAAAAGAUGCCAGAAGUAGUUGAUCUUUGAGUUAGGGGACAUGGUAGCUGCUGAUUCAACUAUCAUUGAACCUCCUUAUUGAAGAAUGACAUUGCCAAGAUAGCACCAAGUCUCAGAAUCUGAAAACUUAAUACAGUGAUUUCUAAUUCAGCUAGUCAUCAAAAUCACCUGCAGAACUUUACAAAAAUUUAAAUCAUCCUGCCCAGAGAUUCUAUUCAACAAGUUUUGGAGCAAACCCGGAAACUGAAUUUUGAAAUGUUCCCAGAUAAUUCUGUCGAUCAGCCAAGUCUGGGAAUCUCCAGCUGAAAUGCCAAGGACUUGGUCCAUCUGCAGGCUCAUCUCAUGACUACAGCCUAGCCAAGUACUGGCUCCUGAACUCAGAGAAGAUAAGGAGAGGAUCAUGCUGGCGUGAGCACUGACCACAGAGGGAACGAGAUAGCAGAAAUACCCUUUCCCUGUGGUGACAGGAUGGAAACUGCCAAUCUCUCUGCAGGCGCCCCUCUGGCUGGUAGGAGGCACCAGAACACACUGCAUGCUCCAGUGUGUGAUAUGCUGCUGUUUCUUAAAAGCCUGUGUGAGAGACUUUGGCCUCCUUCCCUGCUUUAAUUGAUUGAUCUCAUCGUGAGGAAGAACUCGGUGACUACAGACCAAAGACUCCUUCACUGGGUAGGAAAG
ensembl:lincRNA